UUUAUGGAGAGUUUGAUCCUGGCUCAGGAUGAACGCUGGCGGCGUGCCUAAUACAUGCAAGUCGAGCGAACGGACGAGAAGCUUGCUUCUCUGAUGUUAGCGGCGGACGGGUGAGUAACACGUGGAUAACCUACCUAUAAGACUGGGAUAACUUCGGGAAACCGGAGCUAAUACCGGAUAAUAUUUUGAACCGCAUGGUUCAAAAGUGAAAGACGGUCUUGCUGUCACUUAUAGAUGGAUCCGCGCUGCAUUAGCUAGUUGGUAAGGUAACGGCUUACCAAGGCAACGAUGCAUAGCCGACCUGAGAGGGUGAUCGGCCACACUGGAACUGAGACACGGUCCAGACUCCUACGGGAGGCAGCAGUAGGGAAUCUUCCGCAAUGGGCGAAAGCCUGACGGAGCAACGCCGCGUGAGUGAUGAAGGUCUUCGGAUCGUAAAACUCUGUUAUUAGGGAAGAACAUAUGUGUAAGUAACUGUGCACAUCUUGACGGUACCUAAUCAGAAAGCCACGGCUAACUACGUGCCAGCAGCCGCGGUAAUACGUAGGUGGCAAGCGUUAUCCGGAAUUAUUGGGCGUAAAGCGCGCGUAGGCGGUUUUUUAAGUCUGAUGUGAAAGCCCACGGCUCAACCGUGGAGGGUCAUUGGAAACUGGAAAACUUGAGUGCAGAAGAGGAAAGUGGAAUUCCAUG
rnacentral:rRNA from 1 species